AACGUCGAAUGCCGUCAGCCGCGGCAGCGGGAGAACCAAUCUUUUGGGGUGAAUUGGCAGAGCCUAUGCCAUAGGAAACCUUCUUUUCCGAAUCCGUCAGCUAAUCUCGCAGACAUUGGA
rnacentral:sRNA from 1 species